CUGAGCUGUGCCUUGGAGUAGUUCAAAUGCAUCACCUAUUCUAGUGACAUCUGGUAAAGAGCUCCUUUGACAAAUUCAGAAGCCCCUUGCGGCAUCCUCAGCAAGAUUCCUGCCAUCUGUGGCACUGCCUAGCACCUUGCUGCCAUCUCCUGGAGAUGGUUGGUCUUCUUCUGUUCCCUAGACCUUUGGGCCUGCUUCCCUGAACCACCUUUAGCACGUUGUGCCAUAAUGUGAAUGCCAAAGGUAGUAUUAUACUGCAGUGAUAUGAGCCUCAUUGAAAAAAGACAUAGGUGAGUAAUUAACAUAGUGAAUGAAGCGAAUGACCAGAAAAUGAAGUAAAUACCCAUCAGCCAUUGGCAUUCAAAGAAGUGGCAGCCAAUUGAAUGAAACUGACCCAGGAUCACUCAUGAGAAUACGCAUUCAGGAUGUGAAAAUCUUACAGUUUGAAUCUGGUGUCAACAGGCACAGAAAAAUACUGGUACCUCCCUUGGGCACCAAUGCUGCCAUUAUCUUGGAAGACAUAUCAAAACAUCAUCUGUUUUCUUCUUCAUUUUCAGUAAGUAAAUGGCAACAUUCCUAAGGAAGCUGAAAGGAUGGAAGGUCAAAGACUAGCAGCCAAUUAUCAUGAUAAACUUGUGCUCAUAAUUCUCUGCCCCUGGCAGCUGGUGUCUGAACUCAGGAUCAAGUCCUGUGCCUAACACAGAACCUCCUUUAAGCAGGGCAUUGCCGUAGCAACUGGGCAGUCUUUACCUGAACCUUUACAUAGGAAGUUCCCAGCACAGGCACAGUUCCUGCUAGAGGAUAGUCAAAGACAGCAGAGGAAACAGAGAAGAACAAAAAGAGAGAAGAUACACCAUUUAAGUGGCAGGAAUAUAAUGACCUUUCUGAUAGGCAAUGUAAUCAUAGAAAUCAAGAACUUUAAUAAUGCCCAAAUCAUUUGAAUCAAUAAUUUUGCUUCUAGAAUCUAGCCUGAAAAAAAAAGAAAAGAAAAAAAGAACCCACUAGAAUGCCAGCGAUUCCUAAGGCUUUCUAUAUGAUAGUGAUCAAUUAAGACACACUAAAUAUCACCAAUAAGAGAAGGGUUAAAUAAAUGAUGAUAUAGAUAUACAACAGAAUAAUAGUCAUUAUAAGCAUGUUUUAACUCUAUUUAAUAAUAUGGGGAAAUAUUCAAGUUAUGAUCAAAUUAAAAAUAAUAAAGUAAAACUAAAAAUGUG
rnacentral:lncRNA from 1 species